rnacentral:rRNA from 1 species
AUUGAACGCUGGCGGCAUGCUUUACACAUGCAAGUCGAACGGUAACAGGCCUUCGGGUGCUGACGAGUGGCGAACGGGUGAGUAAUGCAUCGGAACGUGCCCAAUCGUGGGGGAUAACGUAGCGAAAGUUACGCUAAUACCGCAUAAGCCCUGAGGGGGAAAGUGGGGGACCGCAAGGCCUCACGCGAAUGGAGCGGCCGAUGUCAGAUUAGCUAGUUGGUGGGGUAAAGGCCCACCAAGGCGACGAUCUGUAGCGGGUCUGAGAGGAUGAUCCGCCACACUGGGACUGAGACACGGCCCAGACUCCUACGGGAGGCAGCAGUGGGGAAUAUUGGACAAUGGACGGAAGUCUGAUCCAGCCAUGCCGCGUGAAGGAAGAAGGCGCUCAGCGUUGUAAACUUCUUUUGGAUGGGAAUAAUAAUGUCGACGUGCUCGGCACUUGAAGGUACCAUCAGAAUAAGCACCGGCUAACUCCGUGCCAGCAGCC